rnacentral:lncRNA from 1 species
UCCCAAACUGCCAUCCCCAAAUUUUAACGGGGAAGUCUGAUCUUGUGCAAGGAGCAGAGGUUCCUUUCUGACAGCCGAAUUAAUAUUCAUUAUUCAUUAGGGAAGAAAAUGCUGAGGUGUUUAUCGUUGCUUCAUUAGAUUUAGCCAAAUACAGGCUAAACGUAAUUGCUUGCACAAACUCCUGUGGCAAGGCUUACAAUUCAUAGUCAAAAAGGAAAAUCUGGGGACCCUGCAUGGGCACGCGUGCAGGCAGCUGAAACCGAGCAGACACGGGCUUUAAGAAGUAUUUCUCCAGUCUUUGUCAUCUCCUGUUCUGUUUGUUUAUAACCAGAGGGAAAACAUAAACUAACCACUAGCAGCAGACACACCAAGCUGCUCUCUUUUUUGUCUAGCCAUUUUGCAGUUCCAGAAAGAGAAGUGCUGGCUCAGAAAGCAGCUCAAAAUUCAUCGAGAGGCGCAUCCAAAGCUUGGCGAAACUAUUGAUAACUGCAUUUUUCCUGUCUUUCCUCAGCAUUUCCAUGAGUGCGGCAUCAUCUGCCUGGAGUUCAGGCUUUCGCAUCUCUCCCAGUAAAGGUGGGGGAAAUAAAGCAGGGGAAGAAGAAUUCCUCAUUUUCUCUAUUUAACGAGCAUUGUGUUUUGUUCUGGUUUAUUACAACUGUGCCCAUGGUGGAACCAGAGGGGGCUGAGCUUCACAUGAGCCCACACAGGGAUGGAGCAGAGAGGGGCCAGCAGCAUCCACCGGUGCCCACGCUCAGUUUUAGGGAUGGAGAACUGAAACCCAGACUCUCUUCUGGCUCCCAAUUCUCACUUCCCACACUUAAUUAAACUAAUCAAGGCUUCCCCCUCCCCCUCAGCUUCCCUGCCAAUAAAGGCAGCAGCACAGGGCAGGGUGGUGGAUGUGGUGCCCUGGGAAGCUGUGUCUGACCCCAGCCCUGUGCCCUCGGAUGCUCUGCGGAUGGCAGGUGGGAUUGGAGCUGCUUUGUUUCCUCUGGUUGCCAGAAAAGGGAAAAUGAGCAGCGUUUGGCCUGGAGAUGCUGUCUGGGCACAGCCCUUCUCCGUGGGCUCAGCGCCCCUCCACACCCCUCCUCGGUUCGGCUUCCCGGCUGCUGUAAUCUCUUUAGAGCAGGCUCGGCAUGAAGAUAACGACGCCUUUGAUGGCUGGAACCCGUUAUGAUCAUGCACUGCUUGGUCAUGUCAGGGAUAAAAAUAACUUCUGUAUUUUCAAGAAAGGCAAGGCU